CAGUAGCCGCGGGAAUACGUAGGGUGCGAGCGUUAAUCGGAAUUACUGGGCGUAAAGCGUGCGCAGGCGGUUGUGUAAGACAGGUGUGAAAUCCCCGGGCUUAACCUGGGAACUGCGCUUGUGACUGCACAGCUAGAGUAUGGCAGAGGGGGGUGGAAUUCCACGUGUAGCAGUGAAAUGCGUAGAGAUGUGGAGGAACACCGAUGGCGAAGGCAGCCCCCUGGGCCAAUACUGACGCUCAUGCACGAAAGCGUGGGGAGCAAACAGGAUUAGAUACCCCCGUAGUCCCUGUCUCUUAUAA
rnacentral:rRNA from 1 species